UAAAUAUGCACACCAUCAAUGUUGUUUUUCUGCUCGGUGACACUGCUUUGAAUUGCUUGCGGUUCCCUUGGUUUCGAAUUGCAUACUUUUUCCUGUGGACUGCUGUUUAUGUACAUUUUAAAAUGGAUCGUCCAUGCUUGCGUUUCGCUUUGGUGGCCAUACCCUUUUCUUGAUUUGUCAUCUACAUUUGCUCCACUUUGGUUUGUAAUUAAUCUUAAGAAAUCACUCCUUUGAUUUAUUAA